rnacentral:rRNA from 1 species
AUAUAUAAUACUAAUUGAGGAAACACUCCUUCCCAUACCGAACAGGAAAGUUAAGCUCUAUAGCGCCAAUGGUACUGCAUGGGAGACCGUGUGGGAGAGUAGGACGUUGCCAGGU